AUGGCUGUCGUCAGCUCGUGUCGUGAGAUGUUGGGUUAAGUCCCGCAACGAGCGCAACCCCCGUCCUUAGUUGCUACCAUUUAGUUGAGCACUCUAAGGAGACUGCCGGUGAUAAGCCGCGAGGAAGGUGGGGAUGACGUCAAGUCCUCAUGGCCCUUACGGGCUGGGCUACACACGUGCUACAAUGGCGGUGACAAUGGGACGCUAAGGGGCAACCCUUCGCAAAUCUCAAAAAGCCGUCUCAGUUCGGAUUGGGCUCUGCAACUCGAGCCCAUGAAGUUGGAAUCGCUAGUAAUCGUGGAUCAGCAUGCCACGGUGAAUACGUUCCCGGGCCUUGUACACACCGCCCGUCACACCAUGGGAGUUGGUUUUACCUGAAGACGGUGCGCUAACCGCAAGGAGGCAGCCAGCCACGGUAGGGUCAGCGACUGGGGUGAAGUCGUAACAAGGUAGCCGUAGGGGAACCUGCGGCUGGAUCACCUCCUUUCUAAGGAUGAUCCUUCAGAUCAGCUCACGCUGUUCUAUCGGAUCGUUUUAGAAACAUCAGGGGCCAACGAUCGCCAGAUCGUUGAGCUCCAUUGGCGGGAUUUCGCCGUCUUCGUUUCUCUUUCUUCGCGGACGAACACGCGCCAGGGGCUGCGCUUGUGCGAUGCAUUGGCGUGAAGCCGGUGCGCGCGAGCGUGCUCCUUGUGUAGGGGCUUGUAGCUCAGUUGGUUAGAGCGCGCGCUUGAUAAGCGUGAGGUCGGAAGUUCAAGUCUUCCCAGGCCCACCACUUUGAUCGAGCGCAUGUGUUUCUCAUCGAGCUUAAAGCAUUCGUCUUCUGGUACGGGGCCAUAGCUCAGUUGGGAGGGCGCGUGCUUUGCAAGCAUGAGGUCGUCGGUUCGAUCCCGUCUGGCUCCACCAGACGGCGUGAUCGCCGCAGCCUGUGCCGUCCUUUAGCAAAAGAGUUUCGCAAGGCGCUUAAGUGCGCUUUGCGUUGAAGAACUAUCUGACAUCGUAAAGAGGAAACACAUUCGGUCAAAGGAUCGCGGGGCUACUAGCUUCGUGAUCCCGCGAGCAUCUCAGUCGUGGGCUUCGCUUGACCGCAAAGCUCCCGGAUGUGUUUGAAGCAAAACUGGUCUUUAUAAUAUCUAUCAACGCCUUCACGAUUUCCUGCACAGCGGAGGAUGCGCAAGCAUCCGCCGUGGAAUGAAUGGUCGCUGCCGAGCGAUGGGCGUUGGUAAUGAGAGCAAUCAAGUGUCUUAAGGGUAUCUGGUGGAUGCCUUGGCGCUGAGAGGCGAUGAAGGACGUGGUACGCUGCGAUAAGUCAUGGGGGGCUGCGAACAAGCUUUGAUCCGUGAAUUUCCGAAUGGGGAAACCCGG
rnacentral:sRNA from 1 species